GCCUGGGUGGCUCAGUGGCUGAGCAUCUGCCUUUAGCUCAGGGCAUGUCCUGGGGUCCUGGGAUCAAGUCCCACUUCAGGCU
rnacentral:tRNA from 1 species